UAGCUCAGUUGGUAGAGCAGUUGACUUUUAAUUUGAGUUGAGCGCAGCGAAACAACGGAGCCGCUCGCGGCGACGGCCCGAAGGGCGAGCGAAGCGAGUCAUCCUGCACGACCCACCA
rnacentral:sRNA from 1 species